UUCCCAAUGCCUCCCAUGCCUA
rnacentral:miRNA from 1 species